GAUGAACGCUGGCGAGAUGCCUUACACAUGCAAGUCAUACGAGGAUUUUUAAUUCAAGUGGCGGACGGGUGAGUAACACGUAAGAAUUUGCCUUUAGGAGGGGGACAACAACUGGAAACGGUUGCUAAUACCCCAUAUGCUUUAGAGUGAAACGGAUUUUUCCGCCUAAAGAGAAGCUUGCGCCUGAUUAGCUUGUUGGUAAGGUAAUGGCUUACCAAGGCGACGAUCAGUAUCUGGUUUGAGAGGAUGA
rnacentral:rRNA from 1 species